rnacentral:lncRNA from 1 species
UUCUUAUUGAGGUAUUAAAAGCUGCACUGUCAUGCAUUCAUAUAUGUGAACUGGCAGCCAAACUUUGUAACGUGAACGUGAUGAUUUUGGUAUUGAUUUUAAAGAGAAUAGAUUGUUUAAAAUUGGGUUUUGUUUUCCAAAAGUUAUGCAUGUAUUGUAAUAUCGCAAAAGAAACUUAAAAAUUAUGGAUAAAAUUGCUUCCCACAUCCACGUUUUUCUGGUUUCUCGACAUAUUCCAAAUCCUAGUUUGUGCAUUUCUCAUUUUCCACGUUUUUCAGUAUUUUUCGCCAUAUUCCAUGUCCUACCAUGUGAGUUUCUCACUUUACUUGUUUCUAAGUUUUCUCAGCAUAUUCCAGGAAAAAGAGAUAUUAAUGGAUUAAUAUUAAUUCUAUAUAUACAUAUAUACAUAUAUACAUACACACACAUUUUUAAAAAGAGAAUUAGAGUAGAGCUGGGGCAAUUGUGGAACACACCUUUAACCUCAGGCAGAUUUCUGCGUUCAAGGUCACCCUGGCUUACAAGUCAGCUAGGGCUAGAGAAACCAUAUCUCAGAAAAAACGAAAAAAAUAAUAGAAAGACAGAAAGAAAGA